rnacentral:tRNA from 1 species
GAGAUAAUAGUAUAAAUUAGUAUAUUUCUUUUUCACAGAAAAGGUAAAUUUAUCUUA